rnacentral:rRNA from 1 species
UACGGAGGAUCCGAGCGUUAUCCGGAUUUAUUGGGUUUAAAGGGAGCGUAGGCCGGUCUUUAAGCGUGCCGUGAAAUUUUGUGGCUCAACCAUGAGAGUGCGGCGCGAACUGGAGACCUUGAGUGCGCGGAAGGCAGGCGGAAUUCGUGGUGUAGCGGUGAAAUGCAUAGAUAUCACGCAGAACUCCGAUUGCGAAGGCAGCAUACCGGCGGCGAUCUGACGCUGAGGCACGAAAGCGUGGGGAGCAAACAGG